rnacentral:lncRNA from 1 species
UUUAUAUAAUUCUAAAAAUUCAAAAUUUAUAUGAUUUCAGUUUUGAAAAUGAGAAAUAUGAUAAUUAAUAUAGUACUUUAUAAUUAGAUUAUAAUUACUAUUUUAAAACUAAAUAAUUUCGUAUUGAUUUUGGUGAAUUGACUCUAAAAAGUCAAAAUGUAUUUCUAAUUAAGAACUGAAAUAUAAAUUUAGGGGUGAGAUAGAAUCAAAAAUAUAUCCCUAUAAUUUGUAAAUUUUGCAAAUGGAGCUCCUUUUGUGGAAUGGAUGACGGAGUAUGAUUUAUGACACUUUAUGCAAAGCCCACAUCAAACACUGUGUAUUCCAGAUUGUUAUAGAAUGUUUUGUUUGAGAAAAUCUUAAUUGUUGUUCUAGCUCGGUCAACUUUGCCUUUCUUUGUUAGUUUAACUUUAAUAGAGUUUGUUUACUAAGCUGUUUGCUCCAUGUAGGCUGUAUAAGUUUCUCUUUCCCUUUAUGUCAAAACUAUAUUAUCGUGAAACAAAAAUCUCUUCUGACUCGGAAAUAAUAACUUUGCAUACAAUUUUAGUAUUUCCUAGUUAUUUUAGAAGAUUGCAUACAAUAGUUAUGCAUACUAAAAUUUGUACAUCCCACAAGCCUAUUUCCUAAUUGCUAGAUUGAAUAGUUCAUAUGAUCCUAAAACGGAUGUAAGAGUUAAAAAGUGAAAUUAUAUUUGCACUCCACAUUUUUGCAUUUACGCUUAAUCUUACUUUUUAAGUUUAAGAAAUUACAGAAAACUGCAUUUAUCAAUAUGUAUCAUAUAUAUAUGUGUGUGUGCACGCGCAUGCAUACGUACAGAACAUGGAGUUAGUGGUGGCCACAUCCAUUGAAUUUUUUAAUAAAAAAAGUACUCCAUACUAGAUUUAGUUACAGUUAAGUGAAAGAAUUUUUUCAUUUCCUUUUCUUUGCAUCUUUAUACCCAAAUCAAAUAAGACUCUUAAGCCAUGUAGUCUCUCUCUUCUCUCCUUAUCUUUGCACAAGAAUUUAAUAUUUGUUUUUUUCCCUAUCCUUUUACUAUACGUUCAUGUACUACCAGUGUGCCUUAUGUUUGUUUAUGAUUGAUUUUUUUAAUGUAAUUUUAAUAAUUUGAUUUUUACUUUUUGUGGCACUAUUAUAAAAAAGUUUAAAAAUAAUUAUUAAAUUUAUUCAAAUAAAAUGGAUUAGGAAUUGUAAAUAUGAAUAUACUUUACUUAACGUUAAAAUGUAUUUUUAAUUUUAUUAAAAUAAUUAAUUAUUUAUACUAGGUCACUUCCCCCUCAUCAAAUGAUAUGGUAUUUGGUGGUUUCAAAUAAUCUAGUUAUUCAAUCAAAUAGUAUGAGUAUCUGAGAUAGUUGUUAUGAUGAGUACGAACAUGACUUUUAUGGUUGGUUGGUCGAUGUUAUAGAGGUAAAAGUAUUUUGGAAAAGGUGACAAGGUGGUUAUGUUUAAAUGUGAGUGGUAUGAUACGGAGGGAAAUGCCAGUAAAAGACUUUGUGACCGGUUUAAGGGGAUCAUAAUUAAUUUGAGGAGAGACCCAUUUGGAGUUAUACUUGGUAGAAAAUACUAUAGAAAACGAAAAAAACCUGAAGAUUUGGAGUUUGGUGAUAAUUAAGAUUUGGAACUAAUUCAUAAUUCAUAAUCUCUGUUCUAAAAAUCGGCCUAGGCGGGGGCCUGGCGCCGCGCCUAAGGCCAAAUCGGUGAAAAAAGCGGGCUAGGCGGGUUAGGCGGCCUAGGCGGGAAAGGCGGGGCCUAGGCGGAGUUUUUUUUUUUUUAAAUUACUACCAAAACCAAAUCUUGAUAUAUUUAUUUUUUUUAAUGAUUUACCAUAUUCUUAAUGCAAGUUGUAGUAUAUCAAAUCACAACAAGAAGUGAACAAGAUCAAGUCAAAAUGGAUAAUUUUAUUAUAGUUGUAAUUUUUUGAACUUGUACCAACUUGAAAUU